UGACCUACGGGACGCAGCAGUGGGGAAUAUUGCACAAUGGGGGAAACCCUGAUGCAGCGACGCCGCGUGAGCGAUGAAGUAUUUCGGUAUGUAAAGCUCUAUCAGCAGGGAAGAAAAUGACGGUACCUGACUAAGAAGCCCCGGCUAACUACGUGCCAGCAGCCGCGGUAAUACGUAGGGGGCAAGCGUUAUCCGGAUUUACUGGGUGUAAAGGGCGCGUAGGCGGUAAUAUAAGUCAGAUGUGAAAGGUGGGGGCUCAACCCCUAGAGUGCAACUGAUACUGUAUAACUUGAGUGUGAGAGAGG
rnacentral:rRNA from 1 species